UAAGUAGAAUAAAUGAUCGCGGCUUUCCUGACCGCUUGUCGGUCAGGAGAGGUGAGGAAAGUCCGGGCUUCACAGGGCAGGAUGCCGGAUAACGUCCGGUGGAGGUGACUCCAAGGAUAGUGCAACAGAAAUAAUACCGCCUGAAUUUUUCGCGUUAGCGAAAUAUUCUUGGGUAAGGGUGGAAUGGCAGUGUAAGAGACUACCGCUUCGCUGGUAACAGUGAAGGCUGUGUAAACCCCAUCCGAAGCAAGACCAGAUAGAAAGCUAUAGAUUUGCCCGAUCUGCUUUCAGGUGGGUCGCUUGAGGUUAUCGGCAACGAUAAUCCUAGAUAGAUGAUCAUUCACGACAUAACCCGGCUUAUCGUUCUGCUUAGUUU
rnacentral:RNase_P_RNA from 1 species